AUACGUAGGAUCCGAGCGUUAUCCGGAUUUAUUGGGUUUAAAGGGUGCGCAGGCGGCCAUUUAAGUCAGCGGUUAAAUCGUGGGGCUCAACCCCAUUCUGCCGUUGAUACUGGGUGGCUUGAUUGCGGUCGAGGUUGGCGGAAUUCGUUGUGGAGCGGGGAAAUGCAUAGAUAUGACGAAGAACACCGAUUGCGUAGGCAGCUGACCAGACCGCAAAUGACGCUCAUGCACGAAAGUGCGGGGAUCGAACAGGAUUAGAUACCCUGGUAGUCCGCACAGUAAACGAUGAAUACUUGUUUUCGGCGAUAUAAUGUCGGAGGCAAAGCGAAAGCGAUAAGUAUUCCACCUGGGGAGUACGCCGGCAACGGUGAAACUCAAAUGAAUUGGCGGGG
rnacentral:rRNA from 1 species